UUCCUGAAGAGCCAUAGAGAUAAGGUAGGACAGAGAAGGAAGGGUCCUUCUCUAUCCUGCCUUAUCUCUAUGGCUCUUCAGGAG